GUCUUCGUGGUGUAGUGGUCAUCACGCUCGACGUAUAUUCGAGAGGUCUGUGGUUCGAAUCCCAGCAAGGACA
rnacentral:tRNA from 1 species